AACGAACGCUGGCGGCAUGCCUAACACAUGCGAGUCGAACGAGACCUUCGGGUCUCGUGGCGCACGGGUGCGUAACGCGUGGGAACCUGCCCUUAGGUUCGGAAUAACUCCCCGAAAGGGGUGCUAAUACCGGAUAAUGUCUUCGGACCAAAGAUUUAUCGCCUUUGGAUGGGCCCGCGUUGGAUUAGCUAGUUGGUAGGGUAAAAGCCUACCAAGGCGACGAUCCAUAGCUGGUCUGAGAGGAUGAUCAGCCACACUGGGACUGAGACACGGCCCAGACUCCUACGGGAGGCAGCAGUGGGGAAUAUUGGACAAUGGGCGGAAGCCUGAUCCAGCAAUGCCGCGUGAGUGAUGAAGGCCUUAGGGUUGUAAAGCUCUUUUACCCGGGAUGAUAAUGACAUUACCGGGAGAAUAAGCGCCGGCUAACUCCGUG
rnacentral:rRNA from 1 species